rnacentral:rRNA from 1 species
CCUACGGGAGGCAGCAGUGAGGAAUAUUGGUCAAUGGGCGCGAGCCUGAACCAGCCAAGCCGCGUGAAGGACGAAGGUGCCAAGCAUUGUAAACUUCUUUUGUCAAGGGACAAAAUCAGGCUCGAGAGCCUGACCGAGGGUACUUGAAGAAAAAGCACCGGCUACCUCCGUGCCAGCAGCCGCGGUAAUAGGGAGGAUGCGAGCGUUAUCCGGAUUUAUUGGGUUUCAAGUGUGCGUAGGCGGACGGUUAAGUCAGCGGUAACAGCCCGGGGCCCAACCCGGGCGAGCCGUUGAAACUGGCUGUCUUGAGAUGUCGAGAGGUAUGCGGAAUGCGAAGUGUAGCGGUGAAAUGCUUAGAUAUUGCGCAGAACUCCGAUUGCGAAGGCGGCAUACCGGCGGCGAUCUGACGCUGAGGCACGAAAGCGUGGGUAUCGAACAGGAUUAGAUACCCCUGUAGUC